rnacentral:rRNA from 1 species
UACGGAGGGUGCGAGCGUUGUCCGGAAUCACUGGGCGUAAAGGGCGCGUAGGUGGCCUGUGGAAGUCUGCGGUGAAAGCCCGGCGCUCAACGCCGGGUCGGCCGUGGAUACUCUCGGGCUUGAGCUUACUAGAGGCAGAUGGAAUUCCGGGUGUAGCGGUGGAAUGCGUAGAGAUCCGGAAGAACACCGGUGGCGAAGGCGGUCUGCUGGGGUAAUGCUGACACUGAUGCGCGGAUAGCGUGGGGAGCAAACAGG